AGGGUUUAAGCUAAAAGUUUUUCCUUAUGAAUUUCCAGUUGGCCCAGCAUCAUUUUUUUUCUCCAAGCAACAUCAGAACAGACCAGCACCAUUUGUUGAGAAAAAUCAUCCCUUCCUUGCUAUACCAGUUUUACCUUUGUCAUGUGUAAGGUGAUCAUAUAUGUCCUUUUAUGAACAUCACUGAAAAGGCUGGGCAAGACGAAACCUGUGAAGAAGGAAGAUCUCCAUGGCUGCCCUUAGCGUGGAAUGUGUUCUUCACACCCUUACAAACAGCUUUCAAGUGUUCAGCCUGUGGAGUUGAAGCAGGUACUGUUAGAUCUGAGCUGAUCUGUUUUGGGGGCGUGUGUACUUAUGUUGUUCUGCCGACCCUGAAUGCAAGAACACCUGCUCUGAUGUGUGCAUCGUUUGUAGCAGGCAUUGUCCUUUAAUAUCUGAGACAUGUAGCAAAGCAUCAUCUCAUAUCAGGAUGUGUCCCUGGGUCUUUGUGAAUGUCUACACUUGGUUCAGCCAAGAGGUUUAUUUGGAAAGUGUCAACAUGAGCUUUGUUUUUGGCAAUUUGUUGGUUGGCCUUUCAAAAUUCUCACAUUCCUGUGCAAAGGUAGACACUGCAGUAUCUGAUCCAUCUGUGAAAUUUAAGCCUAAGAACAAUCAUGAGCUGCUGAAAAUUGCAACAUCAGUAAUCCCAAAAGUUCCAAAUAUACCAGUCUGAAGCUGUGAUGAAUAAUAAUUUUGUUAUGGCUAAUGAGACCCACACAUUGACAGAUAUGCAGCAGGCUUUUGUUCUGUUAUUUCUAUCUUGGUUAAGAUAGAAUAAAAGUUUUCAGCAUAUGAAUUCUACAGCUGCCCUCCUUAAUUACCAGAGCCUAAUGUUGUAAUGUUUCUUCUGAAUAUUGGAUGUUGGUACAAUAGACUUUCAUGGGGCAGCUGAGGUAGUGCCAUCUAUGAUCAGGAGAGGGCAGCAAAGAGCCACAUGAGUCACAACUCUCUGGGCUGGGUCUGCCCAGGAAUCAAUUAAGGCAAUGUAGGAAGCCAGGGAGAAAAUCCCUGCUUGAGUUGAUACCAGCUAAAAUUGAAGGUGGUAAGAGUUGAAGCAGAGGCAAAUGCGUGUUGAUUGCAACAAAGUUGGAGUUAAACGGCGCUAGAUUCUAGAGGGAUUGACUGUGUCAGCAGGGGCUCGAAUUUCUGGAGGAGAACCCAGUGAGCAAAGCAAAAGCUAGCAGAUUUGAGUAGGAUAGGAGUCAGGCCCAUUGGGGUGGGCCAAAGAGUUUUGCAAGGUUAUCCAUACUGACACAUUGCUGAGAGAUGCAGCUUUUUUCUUUUAAAAAUAAUGUUUAUAGCUUACCAUUACAAAUAUAAAAUAUAUUUAUUGUAGAAGAUCGGAAACCAGAGAAAAGUAUGCAGAAGAAAAUAAAAUUCAUCAAUAAUUGUACCAACCAGAGGUAACAAUUUUGGUUAUCUGUGGUCUGUUUGCUUUGAUUAUAAAAGUCCUAUCUGUUGUUUUCCAUCAAUCAUCUAUCUACAUAAACAAAAUUGGGAUCAUACAUUUAGCCAUAGGCCGCCAAUAUCAUUCCCUGCUGAUAUGUAAAAAUUUUAAAAACCAUGUGUGCAAUUUUCCAUCAGAUGGGUGCACCACUAAGCAUUCUGUAUGCCUUGUCCAAUCUUAAAGGGACUAGGGUCACCUUGGAACUUUGCACUGUCUGAUGUCAAACUUCAUUAUGCUCCAGGUCAGGCAUCAUAAAAUUAAUAAAUUCAAAGUUUGGGAAAACAGGGAAAAACAAUGCCCUAAUCCAUUUUCAUUUUUAUUUCCCACUGGCCUUUGUCCAAAUGCAUAAAUAUUCUAACAUGAUUACAAUCAUAAUGUACAUUUGCAUCUUAUUAUAUUGUAAACAUUUUAAAGCUGAUUAAUGAUUUUCUUUUUUUUUUUCCGAGAUGGAGUCUUGCUCUGUCACCCAGGCUGGAGUGCAAUGGUGCAAUCUCGGCUCACUGCAACUUCUGCUUCCCGGGUUCAAGUGAUUCUUGUGCCUCAGCCUGCCAAGUAGCUGGGAUUACAGGUGCGCGCCACCAUGCCAGGCUAAUUUUUGUAUUUUCAGUAGAGAUGGGGUUUCACCACAUUGCCCACACUGGUCUGAACUCCUGACCUCAGGUAAUCCACCUGCCUCAGCCUCCCAAAGUGCUGGGAUUACAGGCGUGAGCCACUGUGCCUGGCCUUGAGUUUCAUAAUUUUUAAUGACUGGGUAAUAGUCCUCUCAGUAGACAUAAUUAUUUAAUUUGUCAUUAUCCUAUUGUUACUUUUUUUGAAAUUAUGAAUAAUUCUGCGAUGACUGUCUUCAUCAUGAUAGCUUUAUCCUUCAUUUGGACUACUUCCUUAGAUAAAGUCUCAGCAGGGGGUAAUAGGGUCUGCUUAAACUGUAGCAGUAAUGUAAAUAUCAAUUGCUUGCCUUAGUUUCUGGGAGUGGAUUUACAUUCAGUCUGUUAUUGAGUACCUUUAAAAAAAACUUUUUUUUUUUUUUUUCAGAGGCAGGGUCUAUCUGUGUCACUCAGGCUGGAAUGCAGUGGUGUGCCCGUAGCUCACUGCUGCCUCAAACUCCUGGGCUCGUGCAAUCCUCCCGCCUCAGCCUCCUGAGUAGCUGGGGCUACAGGUGCAUGCCACCUCACCUGGCUAAUUAUUUUAUUCUAUUUUUGUAGAGAUGGGGUCUUGCUUUGUUGCCCAGGCUGGUCUUGAACUCCUGGCUUCAAGGGAUCCUCUGGUUUCAGCCUCCCAAAGUGCUGGAAUUACAGGCAUAAGGCACCAUGCCCAGCCUGUUAUUGAGUAUUUUUUAAAUUGAACUUCACUCUUAUUAAUAGAAAACAUGUUGACUUUGAUAGUAGCAUAAUUUGGACAAGAAUUAAGCAGAUUUUAAAUGAGACACUGCUUGAUUUGUGUAGAGGUAUUUUUGAGUAAAUGCUUCUUUUUUCCCUGUAAUUCAUCCACACGCAACUAGAAACUUGAGAGGAUGAAGAAGCAUUCAUGGAAAACUAACAAUGUUAGUUUUUAAGGCACGCAAUUGAUAUUUACAUUACUGCUAGAGUUUAGGCAGACCCUAUUACCCCCUGCUAAGAGUUUAUCUAAGGAAAUAGUCCAAAUGAAAGAUAAAGCUAUCAUCCUAAAGAUGUUCAUUGCAAAAAAACAAUUAACUAUGAUGAUUAGCAUCGUACCUGGCAGAGCCUCUUCACAUUUGUGGAUUUCAGUGGCUAUGUGAGUUUUGAAAGACCAGUAUCUUUUUUUUUUUUGGAGAUGGAGUCGCACUCUGUCGCCCAGGCUGGAGUGCAGUGGCACUAUCUUGGCUCAUUGCAACCUCUGCCUCCCAGGUUCAAGUGAUUCUCCUGCUUCAGCCUGCCAAGUAGCUGAGACUACAGGUGUGCACUGCCACACCCGGCUAAUUUUUGUAUUUUUAGUAGAGACGGGUGUUCACCAUGUUGGCCAGGCUGGUCUCAAAAUACUGACCUCAGGUGAUCCACCCACCUUGGCCUCCCAAAUUGCUGGGAUUACAGGCAUGAGCCACCACGCCUGGCCAAGACCAGUAUCUGUUUUAUGUGUGUCUUUGAUAUGUGUGGAAAUGAGGAAAUUCAAGAAGUAAAUGGCAGGACCAUGAAAAUUCUUCCUUAGUUUCUACUUAAACAAAUUUAGAUUCAGCACAGUAUUUAGUAAACGGUGCAUGAUGGCAGGAGUCUAAAAGCUAACCUACAUUAGCUCAGAAGGUGUGGUCCACAGAAUGGACCUGGAAUGCCUUGGGCUACUGCCCUCAGUUGCAUUCUGUCCUACGAAAGAGCUCAUGGCUCAAGCUUUCCAAAUUAAUAAAUACAGAGUUUCUAAAAAUAUAAAAUAAAUAAGAGCAAAUUGCAACAGUAAAACCUUAAUAUCAACAAUCUGCUGUGGAGACUGAAGAAAUAUAUUCUCCAUCACUGACAUAUACCUCAUUUCUAUUAGCAGACAGUGAGUGAACGCUCAUUGUGAUUGUCAUUACAUUGCAGACUUUUACUACCCACUGUGGAUACUUUUGAAAAAUAUAUCUUGAUUGACUGAUAUUUCUUUCUCUCAUUUACCUCCUCUCCAUACCUAAAGAAGCUAUCCAGGGAAGAAAGAAAACUGGAUGUGUAAUUCUAUUUAAUUUGUUUUAUAUUUAUUCCUCAAAUCACUCGUUUCUUUGAAAUAAAA
rnacentral:lncRNA from 10 species